UUCUUCUUUGCCAGAUUCACUUUUAAGUGGUUUAAAUUUUUUUUUCAGUUUUAUUAUAUUUUUUAAAAAUCAAUUUUGGUUGAAAAUUAAAUUAAUUUGAUUUGUUUGUUAUUUAAAUGUUGUUGUUUUUUUAUGUCAGCUUCUUUCCUCACCCCUAGACUGGCACAGUAUAGUAAACUUCUUUAUAUAAGGCUUUUUAAACCGGAGGGAUUUUUUCAUUUAGUGGACUUGAUGGUGUAGGUCUGGAUUCUACAACUGGUGCUGGUAUUGGAAUGGUAUCAGGGUUAGGAACAGUAUGAGAGGGAUUUGAACACUAAAAUACAUGCCCUUAAUGACACUCUUAUUAUGUAAGUGUAGUGAGGAUCUUGAGUUAAGUAAGGUGGACUUGCCUGCAGUAUUAAUGGAGUCUAUCCAGGCCCCCAUUUAUUUGUAAAGUCUAGGAUUGUGAGGUAGUUACUAGGGUUGUGAUUGGACUUGAAAGAAGAAAUAUUAACUGUUAAUUUAAAGAAAUAAAAGGGAGGGGAUAUAUAAAUAAAAUAUAACUGUUUUGGACUAUCAUAGUUAGAUGCGCUGGGAUAAUAGAGAGAAUGUCAUUAAUACACUUAUUCUUAGCUUUCCUUUCCUGGCUUUCAAAUUGAUAGAGGUGCUGUUCAAUGCUGACUCUGCUGAAGACUGUCUUGCAGGCAUAACACGCUGUGACCAGCGACAGGUGAUGUGAUCUGCACCAAGGUCAGAUAUCGUAGCAUAAUGGCAAUUUGGCAAGGUAGCAAUCAUUAUUAGUACUAAAGCACUGAGGUGUAAUGAAAAGCAAUUUAAUUAGCAUUUCAGCUUCACCCAUUAUUAAGUCAAUUGCUAGAGCAAAAUGUGAUAAUUAACUUGACCUCUGCAUUCUAGCAAAAAAACAACUACUACUAUAAUAAAUAGUUUCACACCAAAUUCUUGUAUGCCCUUAUCAGUCGUCUCACUCUGCUUCAUUCUCUAUAAGAGACUCAUAAAGGUAAAGUUGUUUUGGAAAAAGGUUAGUAAUAAAACCAAAAGAUUGUUUCAUUAUUCAAUGCCUCUUCUGGGUCCUCUCUUCUAUUGUCAUUGCUCCAAUCUUCCUUGUCUUUUGCAUUUCCCAUUCACACAAGCUACUUCUCUAAUGACAGUUUGGUAUAACUUAAUUAUAUUCUUUGCUUUCUAGCCUUUCCAAAGUUUUAUUUUAAAUUUAACUUUUGCCAUCCAUUAAUUAACAGUGAGUUUCUAACAAGCCUUAUCACAUUCACUGUGCAUGAUAUAAUAGGCAAAUAUCUAACCACCACGAGGUCUGUUUUGAUGUUGGAAAUAUCCUCUUUUUAUAUACAUUUUUCUGCAUUCUUUCUCCUAUCUCAUAAUCUUCAGUUGUCCAAACCUUCACGUGGACAAAGAUUACAGUGCAUGACUUAUGAUGUCUUUGGUUAAAAACUCUUUAAGAUUCUAACUACUAGGGAUAACUUCAAUUUGUACUGUAUUACAUGAUGUAUGACUGAAUAAGUAAGUUUUGUUUCUGUAUUUAUGCAGCCUCACUGUGAAGUUGUUUACAAAUUCAACACAUUUUCAAGAGACUUUUUAAAUGCUCUAAAUUCAGAUGUGUAAUGCUAGUUUUUGAGCUAAUUUAGAGUAGAAUAGAAUAAUAAAAACAAUGGUCAUAACAUGGACUGAAAUGUGCCUUCAAUCUAAUGUUGUGCCCUUUGGUUCUAUAUUUACAUUUCAAUUUGAACAUCUUUUACUAUUUAAUAUUUAGGAGCUGUUAUGUCAUGCACAAACAAAACAACACUUGCUAAUAAUCAUUGGCUCUACUUUUUCUUAUGCUGCCAACUUAGCACCAUUGUACAAUUACCACAAACCUUUUCCUUAUUCUUGCUGGAUGAAAAAUCUUUUUCAAAGCUACAAAUGAUCAUCUUGAAGGUUUUCAAUUUUACUUUUUUUUUUUUUUAACAGCCUGCUCAAUAAUAGUCAGUAGAAUUCUUGAAAUAUUCUUCAUCUCAAGGCUUAUGACCUCAGUUGUAAAAGUAAAUUCAACAAAUCAAAUCUUACUUACCUGCUAUCAGCUGAUUGUAUUUAUUUCCUUGAUCUGUUCUCGUUUGGCUAUUCAAUCGACUGUAGUGAUAAGUGUCAUUUCUUACUCUUCCUGAAGGUCUUUGAUUCAUAUAGAAAGCUAUCUUCUUUUUCUUAGAAGUUCAUUAAAUCUUCUAUAAUCAGUGUGCAUUACAUUUUAUGGCGGUUCUUGGAUUGUUCAUAAUUUUAUAUUUAUAAUUAGGCUUAGUUCAAGAGUGUUGGCAUGAAUAUUUCCAUUUCUUCUUUUAGUUCUGUAUAUAUAUAUAUGUAAUGAGGAUUAUAUAUUAAGGAUUCCAUCUGAUUCAAUUUGAUUGUCUUCUGAAUGAUCACAACACCUACUCAAAAGAGACCAAUCAAACAAAAAAGUUGUGAUGCAUAAAAUGCACAAUAUAUUGUCAGGACUCCCUGCCAUUGACUCUAUCAGAACCAAAUUCAUUGUUACUGAGGUGAACAGCCUUGUAACCUGAGGUUUGGUACAAAUUGUCAUCCAGUUUGGUGUUUAGCCAUACCAGGGAAGCAAGUUGUGCUUUGAAAUUAUACCAGAUUUCAUUUCAGUUUUGUAUAUGCCAAUCAGAUUGUGUUGUAUUUAAAAUCAUAGAAUUUAGUCACUGUCAACUAACAUGAUCAUUUCUUUUGGUAAGCUUUUUUACUUAAUUAAAAAGAAAAGAAAUCAUUUCAAGUGAGAGUUUGUUAAGACAGCUUAUUAAGUCUGAAGAUCAGAUUAGGGAUGACGGGCACGACAUGGCCUAAAGUGUGUCGAUGUGCCAAAAACUCAGAUAUGAAGAUAUGCAAAUCUAAGAACUGCCAUAACAAUGUCUUUCUCAUCAAUAUUAAACCAACUUUAGCAAGUAUUUAGCUUCUUGCUGCAACAAGCCUACAUUUUUGUCUUGUUUUCUUCUUUUUUCUCCAUUCCUUAUGGCCUUCAUGUAUGUGACAGUAAAAAAAGUUUUUAGUUUCUUAAUUAAUUAUUUAAAAAACAACUCACUCUUUCAUUUAGUAAAAAACUACAUUUGGUUUUUAAAAAAAGAAAGUUUUUAAGUUGAAAUGCUUUUAAUUUGAAGGCACUGCACCAUGUUGUGACUAUUUUUAUUUUCAGGGUAUUUUUUUAACUGCCAAUAUUUGUUGCAAAUAUUAGGCAACCGGCUAAUCUAACUUAAUAUUUUCUCAGAGGAUACUUAGGAUAGGUAAACAAAAAUAAGUUUUUGAUAUGAGGAUGUCCUUCACAGUAAGGCUGUAGUGUAAUACAUUUUGGAAGUUCCUUCACCUUUCAGGGAAAAAAAUAUCAGCUUACCUGCCUAGGGUAUGUUUCCAAGUUGUUUAUAAGUCUGUUGCUUCACCUUAGUUUGACUUUUAUGUGCCUCUGUAUUCUAUUUGCACUGCAGUUUAAGCAAUAAUUUGACCAUAUCUACCUGUGCCUUGGUGGUUUUGAUAAGUAACAGUCGUUGUUUUCUUUGGUCUCUAUUUAUCUUUCUGGUGAACUUUUUUGUGUGCAUCUAUCUUAAAUCUGAUUUUCUUUUCUUUCCAAAAAAAAAGGAAACUCCCCAAAUUUUUUCUUUUUCUAUCACAUUAUGAUGCUGGUAUUGUGUGGUUAGUUAAAGACAUCAAUAUUUACAACUAGGUAGACCUUAUGAUUUUUCUAUAUUGGCAGUUGCACAUUACAAUUCUAAUGUGGGUGCCUCUGUCUUUAAGUAGAACCAAAAGAAGACUGAGACUUUAGCCACCAGUCACUGUCAGAAUCUGAGUCAACCACAGUAUCAUUAUAUAUCUAGCUCUUCUUCUUUACAAUGUUAUCUACACCAUGAUUUUCUGUUGAACCAUCUUCCCUAUCACUGGACCUUUCUAAGGUUAAACACAAUUAAGUAGCUUGUGCUAUUGUUAAUCUUUUAGACCUUCCACUAACACCACUGUAUCCAUGUUUGAGCCAAUCCUUAAAACUUUCACAAUGUGAUCAACCUAUAAACUUUUGACUGUUUUAUCAAUUCGCCCAACCUAUCCAUUAACUUAACCCAAUUAACCCAUUAACCUAUUUUCAAAUAAUAUGAAACCAUGUAGUUCUUUUGAGGAAACUAGAUUUUGGUGCUAGUAACAAGAUUAGAAGCCACACCCAGUGACAACUUAGAACAUCAGUACCUUGGUCAGUAGCUCCAUCAAAGGACUAGAGCACAAGCUUUUACCUAAAGCAGCUACAUCAAAUAACACCUUGUCCAGCUGCAACAUCCAAUGACUACUUGAAACAGAAAGUACCUUGUUCAGCAAUUGCUACAUCAAUUAAUAAGGAAACAUGGUAUUAACAAGUUCAUAAACCAAUACAAGUUCAAGGGAAUAUACUGGAACAAUGGAUAAACUACAACAGGCCAACAAUGAAAGAGGAUCCUCUACAGAGUAAUGGCUGUGACAGAAAUCUCAAGUGAGCAAGCCCUUUUCUGCUUAUCCUGCAUUCCAUCAUGUAAGACAAAAUGUUUAAAUUUAGUAUUUUCCAUUUAAAUGAUACAUCAGUUCAUUGCAGUGUCUUUGAGUAAAUAUCUGAAACAAUAGGACUGUAUGCCACAAACCUUCAAUGAUUUUUUUUAUUUUUAAUCUAGUUAUCCUUGAUAAUGUUAGCAAGUCAGAGUAUGGCUCGAGCUCAAGGUCAGGUCUGGACCUUUCCGCUAAAUAGCAUUUUUUUACCAUUAGGCAGAUGACAGGGCAUCCAACAUAGUGGUGGAAAUACACAAAACACUUAAAAUAAUCCACCCACUAUGUAUCAAUAAACGACAUUAAUGAGCACUUUAAGCACUUCAAAAAAAGUCAAACUACUUAUAAAAAACAUUACAUGGCCUUCCAAAGGCAAGAACUACUUAAAAAACAUUUCCUGCCUUCCAAAGGCAACUAUAAAAAAACAUUACAAGCCUUCCAAAGGCAACAACAAAAACCAUUAUAUGCCUUCGGCUAAUACAUGUCGUUCUCCGACUCUGGACAUGCAGUUUCAUCUGCAGAAGCUGGGCUGACAUCUCUCUGCAGGCAUGGGGGGUAGCUGCAGACUUCUCUCCUCCUCUCGGAUCACUCUUCCGAGGCACCUCAACUUCAGCCUGGGACCGCUGCAUCCUUCCUGCCGCUGCUGCCAUUCUGCCACCCUAACCUAACACUUCAACUCUAACCAACUCUAACCCUAACCCAUAACAACAAAUACUAACUACCUCACAACGCACUACAACAACUUCCUAGAACUACAUCCUACUAAAACUUCUACUAGGCCCCACACUUUAACAACAAAUAACAGAUAGCA
rnacentral:sRNA from 1 species